rnacentral:rRNA from 1 species
GACGAACGCUGGCGGCGUGCCUAAUACAUGCAAGUCGAGCGAAGUUUUUCUGGUGCUUGCACCGGAAAAACUUAGCGGCAACCGGGUGGGUAACACGUAAAGAACCUGCCUCAUAGACUGGUACAACUAUUGGAAACGAUAGCUAAUACCCGAUAAUAGCAUUAACUGCAUGUUUGAUGUUUAAAAGUUGGUUUUGCUAACACUAUGAGAUGGCUUUGCGUUGCAUUAGCUAGUUGGUGGGGUAAAGGCCUACCAAGGCGACGAUGCAUAGCCGACGUGAGAGGGUGAUCGGCCACCCUGGGACGUAGACACGCACCAGACGCCUACGGGAGGCAGCAGAAGGGAAUGGUACGCAAUGGUCGAAAGCAUUACGGAGCAACGCCGCGUGAGUGAAGAAGGAUUUCGGUUCGUAAAGCUCUGUUGUUAGGGAAGAAUGAGUGUGUAGUAACUAUACACAGUAGAGAGGUAACCUAACCAGAAGGGCAGGGCUAACUACGUG